AUGGACGACGAAAAUGCGCGGAGGAACAACACAACUGGAUGGAUACACUACACUGGAGAAGGGAAGGUGACAGGAGAGGAGGCUAAUCAUCAAGCACGGACAACAACACAGAUGUACAACAGCAUCAACACACACGUAGGCAGCACCAUGAACCGUGGCUCGCGUCUCAGACAAACGGCUUGUACUAGACACAGAACAAGUUCGCCAUGGUUCACCUGGCACAAAGAAGAAGCAGAACAAGCAGAGAGGACUCUACAGAACAGAAAAUACCCGGGAAACAUAACAAGUUCAGCAGCACGAGCAGUCAAUUAG
rnacentral:rRNA from 1 species